rnacentral:rRNA from 1 species
GACGAACGCUGGCGGCGUGCUUAACACAUGCAAGUCGAACGGAAAGGCCCCUUUGGGGGUACUCGAGUGGUGAACGGGUGCGUAACACGUGAGUAACCAGCCCUUGCCUUCGGGAUAACUUCAGGAAACUGGGGCUAAUACCGGUAAGGAAUCAUUGCUGCAUGGUGGGGGUUGGAAAGAUGCGGCGGGCUUGGAUGGACUCGCGGCUCAUCAGCUUGUUGGUGGGGUAGUGGGUUACCAAGGCUUUGACGGGUAGCCGACCUGAGAGGGGGACCGGACACAUUAGGACUGAGAUACGGCCCAGACUCCAACGGGAGGCAACAGUGGGGAAUAUUGCACAAUGAGCGGAAGCCUGUGACAACAGCGCCGCGGGCGUAAUGACGGCCUUCGGGGUAUAAACCGCUGUCAGCAGAGGCGAAGCUGUUGUGACGGUACCUGCAGAAGAAGCACCGGCUAACUACGUG